rfam:Schistosoma mattheei strain Denwood, Zambia genome assembly, scaffold: SMTD_scaffold0028575
AUCCAACUGACGAGUCCCAAAUAAGACGAAAUGCAAGUUCUGGAU